rnacentral:rRNA from 1 species
UGGGGAAUAUUGCACAAUGGACGGAAGUUUGAUGCAGCGACGCCGCGUGGAGGGUGUAGGCCUUCGGGUUGUGAACUCCUUUUUCUCGCGAAAAAGGCACAGGUUUGGCGGGGAUGAUGGUAGUGGGGGAAGAAGCGCCGGCUAACUACGUGCCAGCAGCCGCGGUAAUACGUAGGGCGCGAGCGGUGUCUGGAUUUAUUGGGCGUAAAGAGCUCGUAGGUGGUUCGUCGCGUCUGUCGUGAAAGCCAGCAGCUUAACUGUUGGUCUGCGGUGGGUACGUGCGGGCUUGAGUGCGGUAGGGGUGACUGGAAUUCCUGGUGUAGCGGUGGAAUGCGCAGAUAUCAGGAGGAACACCGAUGGCGAAGGCAGGUCACUGGGCCGUUACAGACCCUGAGGAGCGAAAGCGUGGGGAGCGAACAGG